GGAAGCCCGAGCCCGAGUCAGAUAGGCGGUCGGCCCACUUGGCGGCUGGGUGGGUUAAAAGGGGUAGGAUCCGGCACCAUCGCUGCCGUGUUGGAGAUCGAGAGAAGGAAACCCUAGCCGCCGCCGUCCAGAUCUGCUUGGGUUGGUGGAGGUAUGGCUACGGCGCUGCGCACCAUGGCCGCGAAGCUGAUGCAGAAGAUCCCCGCCGCUGUCCAGCGGGUUCGCGUCUCUUCUCGUGCUCCGGCACCGGCUUUUGCCGACCUCGACCCCUUCGGCCCAGAGUUUCGCCGGGCACUGGAGAAGAUUGUAGAGAAACACAGGAAGAGGCGCAGGAACGAGGCCUUGGCCUGUGGUGCUGGCUUCAGUCUUGGAGCACUCACCUUUUUGCUUGGGGUCCAUCGGCUUCGUUGAAGGGAGAUGGCUCAAUGGUGAAUGACUGGAAUAUCUAUCCUGCACCGCAUGUUCUACUAUCUACUACUGUGCCCGCAAGUUCUACUAUCUACUAGUGCUAUAUCCUGCACCCCAUAUGUUCUGCUAUCUACCAGUACUAUAUCCUGUAUGUUUAACUAGCCGGUGUACUCUAUAAUUCCUGGCUUGUGUCUACCUAUCUAGUAGCCACUGUGGGGAUCUAAUUUCGGUGGUUGCAUGUGGGAUGUAAGAGCACUCUAUCGCCACUCUUAUCUGUUGUUAUCAGAGAUCUAUAUUCAGCCGUGUUGUUAAUC